CUACGGGCUGCUGCAGUGGGGAAUAUUGCACAAUGGGCGCAAGCCUGAUGCAGCCAUGCCGCGUGUAUGAAGAAGGCCUUCGGGUUGUAAAGUACUUUCAGCGGGGAGGAAGGGAGUAAAGUUAAUACCUUUGCUCAUUGACGUUACCCGCAGAAGAAGCACCGGCCAACUCCGUGCCAGCAGCCGCGGUAAUACGGAGGGUGCAAGCGGUAAUCGGAAUUACUGGGCGUAAAGCGCACGCAGGCGGUUUGUUAAGUCAGAUGUGAAAUCCCCGGGCUCAACCUGGGAACUGCAUCUGAUACUGGCAAGCUUGAGUCUCGUAGAGGGGGGUAGAAUUCCAGGUGUAGCGGUGAUAUGCGUAGAGAUCUGGAGGAAUACCGGUGGCGAAGGCGGCCCCCUGGACGAAGACUGACGCUCAGGUGCGAAAGCGUGGGGAGCAAACAGGAUUAGAUACCCUCGUAGUC
rnacentral:rRNA from 1 species